rnacentral:rRNA from 1 species
UAGGGAAUCUUCGGCAAUGGACGGAAGUCUGACCGAGCAACGCCGCGUGAGUGAAGAAGGUUUUCGGAUCGUAAAGCUCUGUUGUUAGAGAAGAACGUUGGUAGGAGUGGAAAAUCUACCAAGUGACGGUAACUAACCAGAAAGGGACGGCUAACUACGUGCCAGCAGCCGCGGUACUACGUAGGUCCCGAGCGUUGUCCGGAUUUAUUGGGCGUAAAGCGAGCGCAGGCGGUGCUUUAAGUCUGAAGUUAAAGGCAGUGGCUUAACCAUUGUACGCUUUGGAACCUGGAGGACUUGAGUGCGGAAGGGGAGAGUGGAAUUCCAUGUGUAGCGGUGAAAUGCGUAGACAUAUGGAGGAACACCGGUGGCGAAAGCGGCCCUCUGGUCGGUAACUGACGCGGAGGCUCGAAAGCGUGGGGAGCAAACAGG